rnacentral:lncRNA from 1 species
GAAAUAUGACUAUAAUGAGCACCAAUGCUAAAUAUCAAAUACUCUUUCUUUAUUUAUGUUGCCGCCCCACGUUAAACUACGAUUAGAUGCAAUUGAUAAUCAUCAAGACAUUGUUUCAAACAAUAACAAAGAAAAAAAAUAUAUGCUUGAUGAAAAUUAGAAAGGAAAAAAAUAGAGAGAGAACUAAAGAAAUAAUUUUAAUAAAAAAAACAUGAAGUGGG